rnacentral:rRNA from 1 species
UACAGGGGGUGCAAACGUUGCUCGGAAUCAUUGGGCGUAAAGCGCACGUAGGCGGUUCGUUAUGUCGGAUGUGAAAGCCCUUGGCUUAACCGAGGAAGUGCAUCCGAAACUGGCGAGCUAGAGUACGAAAGAGGAUCGCGGAAUUCCCGGUGUAGAGGUGAAAUUCGUAGAUAUCGGGAGGAACACCGGUGGCGAAGGCGGCGACCUGGGACAAUACUGACGCUGAGGUGCGAAAGCGUGGGGAGCAAACAGG